AUGUCGUUGGACGUCGUCGGGCUGGCGGAGAGCAUGUCCACGGUCGAUCUGGAGGUCGUGUUCGGCUCCAUCGGCCGCGUCACCGGCUCCGAGUUCAUGCACACUAGCGGCCGCAGCUUCGUCUACAUUGUCACUGCCCCUCCCACAAGUGAAAAGGCACUAUGGAAUUUCAAGCAUGACUUCAUGCCUCCAAGCAUCUAG
rnacentral:rRNA from 1 species